ensembl:snoRNA
AUGCACAGUGAACACCCAUGUCUGCUUCUUUUGUAUCUCCCCUGGAUUUUACUCUGUGCUAGAGUAAAGUUUGGUCUGUAACCUCUGUAUUGGAGGAGUUGCAUUCUCCUCCACAUGUAUUCAACAGACUAGUACAUUU